rnacentral:rRNA from 1 species
AUUGAAUGCUGGCGGCAGGCCUAACACAUGCAAGUCGAACGGUAACAGGAAGAAGCUUGCUUCUUUGCUGACGAGUGGCGGACGGGUGAGUAAUGUCUGGGAAACUGCCUGAUGGAGGGGGAUAACUACUGGAAACGGUAGCUAAUACCGCAUAACGUCGCAAGACCAAAGAGGGGGACCUUCGGGCCUCUUGCCAUCGGAUGUGCCCAGAUGGGAUUAGCUUGUUGGUGGGGUAACGGCUCACCAAGGCGACGAUCCCUAGCUGGUCUGAGAGGAUGACCAGCCACACUGGAACUGAGACACGGUCCAGACUCCUACGGGAGGCAGCAGUGGGGAAUAUUGCACAAUGGGCGCAAGCCUGAUGCAGCCAUGCCGCGUGUAUGAAGAAGGCCUUCGGGUUGUAAAGUACUUUCAGCGGGGAGGAAGGGAGUAAAGUUAAUACCUUUGCUCAUUGACGUUACCCGCAGAAGAAGCACCGGCUAACUCCGUG